GUAUGAUGAGAGUUUAAAUUCCUACCACAGCCAUAUAUACAUGCUUGCUAGACUUUGAGCCACACAUUUACUAUUUACUGCUUAUGAGCAUUGAGUGUGGUCAAGCUGUGUAGACCCUUAGGAGCUUGUCAUGUGGUUAAAUCAAGAUUUCACUUGCACAUUCACUCAUAUAUGCUACUUCUAUUUCGGAAGUACCAUCCACAUAUAUUCACUCAUUUCCAUCUCUAGAACCACCCAAAAAUAUUCUACUCCUAAUCCGGGAGAGAAUAGCCAAAAAUAUUUCUAUUUUUCCUUUGUGAAAUAAAUGCUCAAGUUAUCUUGUUACUACCACUUGCUAUAUUAUCUCAAGAGAUGAGUGCUCUAAAAAAAAGAGAGAGAAAAACGAGGAAAUAAAAAGGAGCAAGUGCUCGGAACCUCGAAAGAAAAGAAAAGUGAGACGAGAGGUAAAAAUGGAUAAGUGUCCGACAGUAGAAUUAGGGGUACAAGAUACCCACCUGAGAGAAAAGAAAAAAAGAAGAGCAUCUCAUUCUCCUCACAAAGUUUCAAAAAGCAAGAAAUGUAUGUAUCCCCUCAAAAGAGCAAAAGUAGAAUUAGACUUCCAUCACCAUUGUUUUCACCAUUGUUAUCACCAUCAUCACCAUACACCAUUCAUUCGCCACACAUGCACAUCUUGAUUAAACUUAUUGACUUAUUACUUUGGAUCCAUGGUUUGACUAUACAAUAAAUGUCUUGUAAGUAUGUAUAUUUUAUCUCCCACCUAUGAGCUCCAGAUAUUAAAGCCUUAUUAGAGUAGGGUGAGAGAGAAGGUAAUGUCACUAUGCUUUAUACCACAAAUACUACAUAUCUUGAGAGAAGGCAUAUACCAUCACUGCCUUGGUAAGGAUCUAGAAAUACCACAAAAGAGAGAUAUGAGAGAAUCAUACAAGGAAUCUCUGAGUUUUAUUUGAAAAUCUGCAAAAACUCCAGAACUACAGC
rnacentral:lncRNA from 1 species